rnacentral:lncRNA from 1 species
UGAAACGAUAAUGAUGAAUGAUAUGAAUGUGAAACCACUUGGGUUUGUUUCUUAAUUGUUUGAACUUGAUUUUGGAUAGCUUUCACUUGCUGUUUUGGAUUUUUUAUCUCCUUUUGACCCUAGGCUUGUCCUAGUGGUCUUGUUUCUCAUGUUUGAGUUUGCUUUUCAGGUUAAGAAGCAAAUGCUUUAAGGAAAUUAAUGCAAGUUAAUUGAGUUUGAU